AUGACUCUUCUCGCCACGGUUGGUCAGCCUCAUCCUCCGUCGAAGGUGAUCUCCCGCCGCGAGCACUCCAACCGGGGGCACCAGCUGAUCCGGGAGCCGACGGGCCAGUUCAAGUUCCAGUGCAACGGCUGCCUCGAGGAAGUCAGGGGGUGCGACAGGGACACGUGCAAGCGCUGCGACUUCGACCUCCACCAGGCCUGCAACCUCCAAGAAGGGACCACGCUGGAGCACGGGCUGCUGCCCGAGAGCAGGUUCGUGCUCCGCCUCGAGGCCCCCCCUUCCAAGCAGCGAUGCAGCGCCUGCGGCACCCACACGCAGGGCACCCACUACCACUGCGAAGGGACGGGCCAUUACCUCCACCCGUGCUGCGCGAUGCUGCCUAUGGAGAUCAAGCUGAGUGAUGAGCUCAGGUUCGAGCUCCGCGAGGAGGUGUCUCACUGCUGCACCAAGUGCAAGAAAGGAGGCGGCGUCAGGGACUACUGGUUCUACCGCUCCACCUCCAAGAAAGUGUACCUGCAUGUCGGCUGCGCGAGAGAGGUUCUUCUGCCGAGCUCAAGUAGUACUACCGACAAGGAGACUGCGUUACGGAAGCACGGGUCGGGGAAGGCCGGGAGGAACCCCGACCCCUUCUUCGAGAUCGUUAAGGCCCUGGCGAGCAUCAUCAUCGCCGUACUCACUGGAAAUCCGGUGGCGUUAAUUCCUGCACUGAUCGAUCUGGGCUCCAACGUCAUCAAAUCGUUGAAAAACAGGUAG
rnacentral:rRNA from 1 species